CCUACGGGAGGCAGCAGUGGGGAAUAUUGCACAAUGGGGGAAACCCUGAUGCAGCGACGCCGCGUGAGUGAAGAAGUAAUUCGUUAUGUAAAGCUCUAUCAGCAGGGAAGAAAAAGAUGGUAGUUGAGUAAGAAGCCCCGGCUAAUUACGGGCCAGCAGCCGCGGUAAUAAGUAGGGGGCAAGCGUUAUCCGGAUUUACUGGGUGUAAAGGGAGCGUAGACGGCAGUGCAAGUCUGGAGUGAAAGGCGGGGGCUCAACCCCCGGACUGCUGUGGAAACUGUACGGCUGGAGUGCAGGAGAGGUAAGUGGAAUUCCUAGUGUAGCGGUGAAAUGCGUAGAUAUUAGGAGGAACACCAGUGGCGAAGGCGGCUUACUGGACUGUAACUGACGUUGAGGCUCGAAAGCGUGGGGAGCAAACAGGAUUAGAUACCCGGGUAGUC
rnacentral:rRNA from 1 species